rnacentral:rRNA from 1 species
GACGAACGCUGGCGGCGUGCCUAAUACAUGCAAGUCGAACGCAUUUUCUUUCACCGUAGCUUGCUACACCGAAAGAAAAUGAGUGGCGAACGGGUGAGUAACACGUGGGUAACCUGCCCAUCAGCGGGGGAUAACACUUGGAAACAGGUGCUAAUACCGCAUAAUUCCAUUUACCGCAUGGUAGAUGGGUGAAAGGCGCUUUUGCGUCACUGAUGGAUGGACCCGCGGUGCAUUAGCUAGUUGGUGGGGUAACGGCCUACCAAGGCUGCGAUGCAUAGCCGACCUGAGAGGGUGAGCGGCCACACUGGGACUGAGACACGGCCCAGACUCCUACGGGAGGCAGCAGUAGGGAAUCUUCGGCAAUGGACGCAAGUCUGACCGAGCAACGCCGCGUGAGUGAAGAAGGUUUUCGGAUCGUAAAACUCUGUUGUUAGAGAAGAACAAGGAUGAGAGUGGAAAGUUCAUCCCUUGACGGUAUCUAACCAGAAAGCCACGGCUAACUACGUG